CUCUCUGAUUCUGCUGUCUCCAAUCUAUGAUCGUGUUUUGGCUGAAACGGGCUGUUUAUUCUCCAAUUUUAAUAUCGAAAAUAUGGGAGGAUAUAUAUUCCGGAUCUACCAAGUACCAGUAAAUGUUGCAUAUAAACAGUUGCUUCAGAACAACGAAACAAGACAGGACUACGUACUUUUUGAGAUCAGGACAGGGAGAGCUAGUUAUAAAAGACAAUUUGCCCCUGUGAUAACACUCAAGAAAUUUGAUCAUGACUUUCAGAUUAUCUUAGAGUGAUAGCUGCCAGUGACCUUUAUGUAAA
rnacentral:lncRNA from 1 species